rnacentral:lncRNA from 1 species
AACGCCGACGCCGGAGAGCUGCGUGAUGCGUUUCAGUUGUACGAUGGGGAUAAGAACGGGUUGAUCUCGGCGGUAGAGCUCCACCAGGUGUUGAAGCAGUUGGGGGAGAAGUGCUCGGUGCAGGACUGUCAGAAGAUGAUCGGAUCUUUUGACUCCGACGGGGACGGCAAUAUUAGCUUUGACGAGUUCAAGGAGAUGAUGACCAAAUCCAGCCCUAAACAGCGUCAACAGUGAUGUACGGUGAUUCACUGCUGAGGCGCAUGGAUUCUUGGUAGCCGCCACCACAUGGGAUCCCUUCGCUGCAGCGCACGGUCUCAAACUGUCACGUAUCAGUGUUAGAUUUCUGGCUUUUGCAAUAAUAUUCAAC